GAGGACAGAGCUCAGAGGUAGAGUGUGUGCAUAAGAUGUACAAGGUCCUGGGUUCAAUCCCCCGUGCCUCU
rnacentral:tRNA from 1 species